rnacentral:lncRNA from 1 species
AAAGAAGGUGACUGAGCCAGGAGGAGAGCACAGAUGGCUUGGUGGUGGUAUGGUGUGGUCCUCCUUCCCCUUCCCUCUUAGGCAUGGGGAGUGGAGCAACAGACGGAGAGUGGCAUGAAGACACAAAGGAGGAAGCACACCAUUGCCAAGACCCCAAGGAAGAAGGAUGGAAAGCGCUGGCAGUCCUGCCUGGCCCCCAGCCAGUUCCCUGCUGAAGAUGGCCAGAUCCCCUUGUCUGGUGUGCCUGCACAGGAGACAGCACCAGCCAAGCUGAUUGUGUAUCUACAGCGUUUCCGGCCUCAAGACUAUCAGCGCCUGCUAGAAGUGAACAGCUCCAGAGAGAGGCCACAGGAGACUGAAGAUCCUGACCACUGCCUGGGCUAGGGGUGUCACUUCCUAGAAGGGGAAGGGAACUCUGGGUCUAACGGAGUCCACUCCUGGGCCCACUGUGCCUCUCCCCUCAGUGUCCCUUCUGACAGUGACUCCUCUCUCUCCAGCGCUGCCUGUUUCUUCCCCCUCCUCUAAGCUACUCUUCCUUGAGCCCUCCCUGGCUGCUUCCUCUCGCUCAUCCGUCAGAUGCAAUCUGUGGGCCGCCCCUCUCCCCUGGCCGCUAAGCAGCCUCCAUUGAUUUCCGCUCGUGUUUAUAGGAUUUCCACUUAGCCGUGAUCAGUAGUUAAGCACAGGAAAAUCCCUUGCCACCCCCCCUCCCUUGGUCGAUGCCAUUGAUUCUGCCAGCGGCUCCUAAACCGCCUUACAGCUGAGUUAGAAGAUGAGGAGAGGCAGCAGGGAUUUCCCUGCCUUGGGAUGUGGGAAACAGAAGAAAAGUUGAGGAAAUGGUUGGGAAUCGCUGUUAGAACUCUAGAAAUUCUAAUCUGACUUUGCCACUGUGCCCAGCUCUGGCCCAGAGGGUAGAGUGCCUCCUGUGGAAGUUUAGGGGCAAAUUUGUUCCCUGACCUGGAGAGGGUUAGAAAGAACCAACAGCUGCCCCCUCCCCGCCCCCGUGUUGAGACAGGUUCUCAAGGCUCAGGGGAAGAUGCAUACCUCCUAUGUAAGAAUGCUCUUCCCUUGCUGUUAUUCAUACACACUUUCCACUUCAAAUAUACCCAAAUAUGGCUUUCCUCACUUCUCAGGCUUUAUUGGGCUUUAUUUGUGGGAGAAGGGGGCUGGUCCCCAGUUUUUGCAGUGCAAAGCCAGAGCGCCACCUGCUGGUAGCCCUCAGGUGUAGGUUCGAAGCUGCUGGGGCCCCCUGGGGUUUGGGACACAGGAGAAUUUCAGGCUGUGAGUGGAGACAGUUACUGCCACGAUUCCACAGGCAAGUUGUUCACCUCAAAGAUCUCCUGCACCGACUGGUGAAAGUGGUCGUAGGUGAGGCGCAGCUUUAGCCGCAGGGGGGCCUAGGAAUAGGAGAGCAGGGACCAGGGUUAGCACCCACGGCUUCUUCUAUCCCUGGGUCUUGUCUUGGGGGAACUCCUGAAGCUCACCUUGUUAGGAUUGAGGAUUCUGAAGAGCUGGGUGAUAGGAAGGCCACCCCGAGCUGGAACUGUGUUCCCACUGGGGGCCUGCAGCUGCAGCUGGAGACUCUGAACACAGGAGUUUAACAGAGCACAGUAUGGCAGUAGGUAGGGCUCAGGCAGCCCCUCUAUACUCAGUGGCUCCACACCCUUUUCCUGUAACUCCCCAAGUGCUGAUCUCCAGAUGACUCAAUCCCAUCUCACACUGUCUCCCACCCACCUCCUCCACUUAGUGGCCUUUUCUCCUGGAGUCCCCAGGCCACCUCUGAACUCUGAUCUUUACAAACCUUGGGCACAGCAGCCUGGCAGAUGAAAUGGGUGACAUCACCCUCUGA